ACCAAAAACCCUUGCCCAAUUUCAAUUCUUAAUAACUUUUGAUUCGGAGUUUCGAUUGUCGCACCGUUUGCGGCUAUGCGACUGCAGUAUCGACCUCUAUAAAGCCCAGAACUUAAUUAGGUUCGAGUUAACUUGCGGGUAUUAUCGGGCUUAGCUCGUUUGAGUUGUGCGUCAGAUUGAAAUUGAGUGUUGGAUGGAGCCAAUUUGAAGAUUUGGAAGCUUGAGGUCAAGUUUCGGAGGUCGGGUUUUGUUGGUGAGGUUUUGGAAUCUUGAAAA